UACGGAGGGGGCUAGCGUUGUUCGGAAUUACUGGGCGUAAAGCGCGCGUAGGCGGCUCGUUGCGCCCGACGUGAAAGCCCCCGGCUCAACCGGGGAGGGUCGUCGGGGACGGGCGAGCUUGAGGGUGUCAGGGGCUGGUGGAACUCCCGGUGUAGUGGUGAAAUGCGUAGAGAUCGGGAAGAACACCCGUGGCGAAGGCGGCCAGCUGGGACACACCUGACGCUGAGGCACGAAGGCGUGGGGAGCAAACCGG
rnacentral:rRNA from 1 species